rnacentral:lncRNA from 1 species
CGUCUGCUACCUGUAAGAAUUUAUUCUUUUUUAAAUUGUCGGACUGUGAAGAGGAAUCUGGUGAGUUCUAAAGUUAAAAUAUAUUUGUUUUAUUUUUUAGACCGCUCUAUAAGACGUGACUGCGAAUGUCUUUAGAUCAGUGUGCAGCACUAAUUUUGACUAAUGUGGAUGUUUUCAUUUAAGUUCCUGCAUUUUCAAAAAAUUAAAUCACAUUUAUACGUCUAUAUACGACAUUCUUUGUGGUUUUGAGUAAUCAUUUUUAUCUGUGUUCUUCUUUUGUUUUUGUUUCAAUUGCUGUAGUUGUGUUGAGCUUUCUUUUAAUGCGUAUUUGAGGGGCUCGUAGGUGGCCUGUUGCAAGGCAAUAUUUCUGUCCCUAUCUAGUGGCAGUCCAAAUUUCCCCGACCAUCAUCCCCAUGGCCUCUAUUACUAGACCUUUCUAUUGUAUUUAUUAUUAACUUGUUCUCGUACUGAAUAUGCAUGACAUAUUUGCCACUGGACGUUAAGCAACCAACAAUUAAUCAAUCUUUUAAUGAUUUCAUGUUAAAGCCAAUUGCGCAAGAUCUUUUAUAUAUAAGGUGAUUCAUAAAUAUCUUAUUUAAUGUGCGCAUAUAGUGUUUUGAACAGUAUUAAUUCUUCUCCUGUCAGGUGUAUAAAAUUACGUAAUUUUGAAUAAAUAUCCAGACUACUUCAUGAUAAGCGUAUAAGAUAUAAGAAAUGUAAUAAACAUAUUUUUUUUGAAUUGUAUGGUACACAUAGAGUAUGCUAUUAGUUAAAUGCAAUCAAGUGUAGCAAUAUUAUUUUAGCAUAUUAAUCUAUUGCAAUAAAAAUUCAUAAUAUCUAAUAAAAUUUUUAGAUUUAGCUAACAAAGUCCUUAUAUUUGCAUAAAGUAACAUUCGUUUAUAGUGGAAAAUUGUUUUAACGUUGAAUAAGCUUCAAUUAAAAAUUGCUUGCUAGUCCCUCUCUGUGAUUACCAUUAGAUAACUCUAGUUCAUUUCCCAAUCAAUCUAUCAUCAAGGGAAGAUAAAUAAUGCAAUAUUCAUCCAAAGUCUUUUUCAAAAAUGAUAAACGGUUUUUUAUAUUGGUAUGUAAUCAUUUUAAAGGUUUCACAUAUGAAAUUAUAUUCGUACAUCAAUGUUUUUGAUACACCAAUAACAAAAACUGAAAUAUAUUGAAUUGAUACAUUUUGUAAUUAUUCAAAAUUAUAUCAGAAACUAAAUUAAUUAUAAAUAAUGAACCUGUUCUAAAUAUUAUUUAAUGUCGCAUAUAGUGUUUUGAAACAGUAUUAAUUCUUCUCCUGUAGGUGUAUAAAUUACGUAAUUUUGAAUAAAUAUCCACUACUUUGAUAAGCUUAAAAGAUAUAAGAAAUGUAAGAAACAUUUUUUUUAAUUGUAUGGUACACAUAGAGUAUGCUAUUAGUUAAAUGCAAUCAAGUGUAUCGAUAUUAUUAUAGCAUAUUAAUCUAUUAUGAUAAACAUUCAUAAUAUCUAAUAAAAUGUGUAGAUUUAGCUAAUAAGGUCCUUAUAUUUGUAUAAAGUAACAUUUGUUUAUAGUGGAAAGUUGUUUUAACGUUAAAUAAGCUACAUUUAAAAAUUGCUUUCUAGUCCCUCUCUGUGAUUACCUUUAGAUAAGUCUGGUUCAUUUCCUAAUAAAUCUAUCAUGAAGGGAAGAUAAUAAAUACUAAUUUCAAUCAUAGUCUUUUUCAAAAAUGAUGAACGGUUCUUUAUAUUGGUAUGUAAUCAUUUUAAACGUUUCAAAUUUAUGAAAUUAUAUCGUACAUCAAUGUUUUUGAUACACCAAUCACAAUAACUGAAUUAUAUUGAAUUGAUACAUUUUGUAACUAUUCAAAUUUAUAUCAGAAACCUAAACUUAAUUAUAAAAUAAUGAACCUGUUAAAGGGAGGAAUACGUAAAAGUUAACUUUUCGAAUUGGCACAUAAUACGAAAUGUCACUUUGCUUACAAAUUCUCACAUCAAUAUGAUAAUUUGAAUUGCUGCUUCUUUUUGUACUUUAUUGGGGUGUAAAAGCGUUGACGAUACAUUCUGUAUGAAGCGCGGAAGCGCUUCAUUUAUAAAAAUGUGCGCACGGUCAACACUUUUACAACCCUAUAAAGUUACAAGAAGCAUUCAAUACCUUUAUAAUUUAUUUUUAGCAGGAUAAUGAACACGAUUUUUAUCAUUUUUUUUUAUUUAAUUCACCUGUGCACUUUAUUGUGUGACCUCGUGUUAUCAUGAAUGAUAAGUUUUAUUGUGUAAUGCAAUUGCUUACGGAAUAACACGUGCUGUGCAGUUAGCCAAUCAGAAUAACGUAUUAUAAUGAAACAUACAUCUAAUGUAAUUAUUUAACUGUGUAAUCGCGCUCCACCUUCAAUGAUGAUUCUAAAUUAUAAAUAUAACAAAAGUUGUUAAUCUAUAGAUAGUAAAGACUAAUGAAAUCUAACCCACUGUUAAUAUUUCUUUGCAUUUUUUUAAAACUUCCUCAGUAAAAUGCUUGGGCCACUUGACUUUCAUAGCUCAUAAUUAACGUUUUUACACAAUAUUUAUAUCAAGUAGCUAAAGAUUAUUCGCUUCUCAAAGUGUAAGACGCAAUAAAAAUCGUAUGCUUGCACCAUCUUACCCAAAAACAGAUUUAAUUAAGUUGGAACAUUUGACAUUUUUUCGUUAAAACCGGUUUUAAACAAAUCACAAGUACGUGUUAAGAUCCGACUAAAUACCCAUAUCCAGAUAUCGUCAGGUAAAUUUACUAAUCCGAUAUUGGUUAAUAAAAUUAUCUAUCUAUUGUAUUUGUGCAUUUCGUUGCUCCACACUUCUGUCUGGAAAUAUUGUUUGUACAGUCACACUACUAUGAAUUCAAAUAUACUUUUCCCCUUGUUUUUUUAUUUUUUUUACAGUCGAGUUCAUUGAAUGUGUAUGAAAAGAAAAUAUCUUUGGUUAGCUUACUUGCUAGCUGUAACAUGAAGGAAUUAUUAGGAAAGGUUUAAUAUCCUCCUUUCGAAGACGCCUAGUUCUACAGACGGAUAGAUUGGGUAUCUGUCGGACUAGUCUAAUCUUAAAAGGAGGGUAGUUCAACUAAACCAAAUAACUUACCAAAAGUAUUACCUUUGCCUACAAACUCAAUGCAAUCGGCUGUAACACAUUUUUCUUUUUCUCGACAGCUUGUUGCGGAGGACCUGGAUAUGCCUCACCACUUUCUGCCAUGCGGAGCGGGCUAGGGAGACAUUGGUAUAUAUUCCCUGUAUCAUCCCACCAAGCAGACGGAAUGUUGAGCCAGAUUACCUGGUCACAGUAGACGUUGACCCAAAAUCACCAACUUACUGCAAGGU